CUACGGGUGGCAGCAGUGGGGAAUAUUGCACAAUGGUCGCAAGCCUGAUGCAGCCAUGCCGCGUGUAUGAAGAAGGCCUUCGGGUUGUAAAGUACUUUCAGCGGGGAGGAAGGGAGUAAAGUUAAUACCUUUGCUCAUUGACGUUACCCGCAGAAGAAGCACCGGCUAACUCCGUGCCAGCAGCCGCGGUAAUACGGAGGGUGCAAGCGUUAAUCGGAAUUACUGGGCGUAAAGCGCACGCAGGCGGUUUGUUAAGUCAGAUGUGAAAUCCCCGGGCUCAACCUGGGAACUGCAUCCGGAAUUGGCAAGCUUGAGUCUCGUAGAGGGGGGUAGAAUUCCAGGUGUAGCGGUGAAAUGCGUAGAGAUCUGGAGGAAUACCGGUGGCGAAGGCGGCCCCCUGGACGAAGACUGACGCUCAGGUGCGAAAGCGUGGGGAGCAAACAGGAUUAGAUACCCGCGUAGUC
rnacentral:rRNA from 1 species